GACGAACGCUGGCGGCGCGCCUAACACAUGCAAGUCGAACGAGCGAGAGAGAGCUUGCUUUCUCAAGCGAGUGGCGAACGGGUGAGUAACGCGUGAGGAACCUGCCUCAAAGAGGGGGACAACAGUUGGAAACGACUGCUAAUACCGCAUAAGCCCACAGGUCGGCAUCGACCAGAGGGAAAAGGAGCAAUCCGCUUUGAGAUGGCCUCGCGUCCGAUUAGCUAGUUGGUGAGGUAACGGCCCACCAAGGCGACGAUUGGUAGCCGGACUGAGAGGUUGAACGGCCACAUUGGGACUGAGACACGGCCCAGACUCCUACGGGAGGCAGCAGUGGGGGAUAUUGCACAAUGGGGGAAACCCUGAUGCAGCGACGCCGCGUGGAGGAAGAAGGUUUUCGGAUUGUAAACUCCUGUCGUUAGGGACGAUAAUGACGGUAC
rnacentral:rRNA from 1 species